GAUGAACGCUGGCGGCGUGCCUAAUACAUGCAAGUCGAGCGAACAGACGAGGAGCUUGCUCCUCUGACGUUAGCGGCGGACGGGUGAGUAACACGUGGAUAACCUACCUAUAAGACUGGGAUAACUUCGGGAAACCGGAGCUAAUACCGGAUAAUAUAUUGAACCGCAUGGUUCAAUAGUGAAAGACGGUUUUGCUGUCACUUAUAGAUGGAUCCGCGCCGCAUUAGCUAGUUGGUAAGGUAACGGCUUACCAAGGCAACGAUGCGUAGCCGACCUGAGAGGGUGAUCGGCCACACUGGAACUGAGACACGGUCCAGACUCCUACGGGAGGCAGCAGUAGGGAAUCUUCCGCAAUGGGCGAAAGCCUGACGGAGCAACGCCGCGUGAGUGACGAAGGUCUUCGGAUCGUAAAACUCUGUUAUUAGGGAAGAACAAAUGUAUAAGUAACUAUGCACGUCUUGACGGUACCUAAUCAGAAAGCCACGGCUAACUACGU
rnacentral:rRNA from 1 species